rnacentral:rRNA from 1 species
UGAGCAAUCUGCCCUUCUCUUCGGAAUAAGCGUUGGAAACGACGUCUAAAGCCGAAUACGACCUCCUUUCGCAUGAUCGGAGGUGGAAAGCUCCGGCGGAGAAGGAUGAGCUCGCGGCCUAUCAGCUAGUUGGUGUGGGUAACGCCCACCAAGGCGACGACGGGUGGCCGGCUGAGAGGGUGACCGGCCACACUGGGACUGAGACACGGCCCAGACCUCCUACGGGAGGCAG